UUACCCCUACGGACGCAGCAGUGGGGAAUAUUGCACAAUGGGGGGAACCCUGAUGCAGCGACGCCGCGUGAGUGAAGAAGUAUUUCGGUAUGUAAAGCUCUGUCAGCAGGGAAGAAGAAAGACGGUACCUGACCAAGAAGCCCCGGCUAACUACGUGCCAGCAGCCGCGGUAAUACGUAGGGGGCAAGCGUUAUCCGGAUUUACUGGGUGUAAAGGGAGCGUAGACGGCAGGGCAAGUCUGGAGUGAAAGGCAGGGGCCCAACCCCUGGACUGCUCUGGAAACUGUCCGGCUGGAGUGCAGGAGG
rnacentral:rRNA from 1 species